UACGAAGGGGGCUAGCGUUGCUCGGAAUGACUGGGCGUAAAGGGCGCGUAGGCGGUUGGCACAGUCAGAUGUGAAAUUCCCGGGCUUAACCUGGGGGCUGCAUUUGAUACGUGUGAUCUAGAGUGAGGAAGAGGGUCGUGGAAUUCCCAGUGUAGAGGCGAAAUUCGUAGAUAUUGGGAAGAACACCGGUGGCGAAGGCGGCGACCUGGUCCUUGACUGACGCUGAGGCGCGAAAGCGUGGGGAGCAAACAGG
rnacentral:rRNA from 1 species